rnacentral:lncRNA from 1 species
GGCCAAAGUAUUAAUCAUCGCUCACCCUCUUGAAGCCAGGCUCCAUACUCCCAGACAAAACAACCACAACAGGAGAUUCACUGCCAGUGACAAACAUCAAACCUUUCCAUAUGAUCAAGGCGGAUGUGACGAUCAUGCCUGAAAUAACAACAAGAUAAACAUUAUUUCCUUGACAUGAAUGCAUCAAUAUGUGGACAACUCAAAACACUCUAGAACCAAACUUAUUUUGCCAAACCAGAAAAAAAAAGGAGCUCCCAAAUUGUGAAGUCAAACAACACACAAAGGUGCCAAGAAAAGUACAGAUGUUGAGGGGGGCGAGGGGAAAGUGAGAGAAAGAGAGAAAAACUAUUGGUCGUCAUCUUUGAGCUGUUUCUUCAGGAGACCACUGUAAUCUCCUUGAUUCUGCCAUUUUUUCCACUAUUUAACAUCCAGGCGCAAAGCUGGGACAGAUAAUACCCUGUGAUGAAUUUGAUAUUGUUGAAGCAUCUAAUAACUCUAUGGUUUCGCAAGAAGAAAACUUGUAGAAAGAAAGAGCAUGAGGGUCAUUUUAGAGUGUAGUUUACAUCAGUUUUAGAGAGGAAGAGAAAUAAUAAACAGAAAUUCGAGUGAUUUAUUUAUAGAUGUGACGGUGCAAACGUACCGAAAAUUUUGGGAGACACGUUUCAUAAUUUAAGCUGAAAUAAACUCCAAAGUAACUUCGCAAGCUAAUUUUAUCUUGUAGCAAUCAACAAGGCAUGGUCAGCGUGUACAUAUGGACAAUAACUCAAUAGGAAAUAUUCGACACUUUUUUUCCUGUAUCAUCUCCAUUAAGUUUUCGAGACUAAGGUCCUAGUGCUGUAUUAAAAAUAUAUUUUUUAAUUCAUGUACAGACAUCACAAGCAGCCACAAAGAAUAAGAAAAUAAGAAACACUACAUCAUUCGAUAACACCCAUUAAUCUCACCGCAGACUGACAUACCGUCCGUCUACUGUUUCAAAUUGUCAGGCAUACGCAGUAUGAAAGAGAAAGAAAACAGAGAUCCGGGUAUAUCGACAAUUAAAACUCAGGAAAAUCAUCUGAAUGCUUCGCAAAAUCAAAAUAAAGAAGAGAUCUCGGGAAGUCGGCAAAAACGAAAUAGUUGAGGGUUUCGGGACCGAGACUAACGACUUGCGUCAGGACAUGCCUGAUCUGGAGCGAUCUUAUGGAAUCCAGGCUCUCGCUGACCCAACCCAUCUUCUCCCUCCCUCUCCCUCUCCCCCCAAAAACCUGCAGGUUCCCGCGUCAAACGAGAAGACGACCGGGAGAAGAAACAGAACAAGCUCCCCCCCUCCCGAUGUCUGAACGGCCACUUGAGCAGCUCUUUUAUGGAAACCCCUGUCAUGAAGACGACGACCGCAACCUCACGCGCCACUCUCUAGCGGGCCCAAUGGCCAAUAACUUGCCCCAAAAUUAAC